GACCAGAUGGUGUAGUGGCAAUGCACGCAGGACGAGUCCCUGCGAGUUCUUUGUUCGAUUCGGAGUCUGGUCA